GCCGGGUUAGCUCAGUUGGUAGAGCACUUCUCUUGUAAAGAAGAUGUCGUCGGUUCGAUCCCGACACCCGGCUCCA
rnacentral:tRNA from 1 species